GCCUGGGUGGCUCAGUCGGUUGAGCGUCUGACUUCGGCUCAGGUCAUGAUCUCACAGCUCGUGAGUUCGAGCCCCGCCUCGGGCU
rnacentral:tRNA from 1 species